rnacentral:rRNA from 1 species
AGAUUGAACGCUGGCGGCAGGCCUAACACAUGCAAGUCGAGCGGUAGAGAGGUGCUUGCAUCUCUUGAGAGCGGCGGACGGGUGAGUAAUGCCUAGGAAUCUGCCUAGUGGUGGGGGAUAACGUUCGGAAACGGACGCUAAUACCGCAUACGUCCUACGGGAGAAAGCGGGGGACCUUCGGGCCUCGCGCCAUUAGAUGAGCCUAGGUCGGAUUAGCUAGGUUGGUGAGGUAAUGGCUCACCAAGGCGACGAUCCGUAACUGGUCUGAGAGGAUGAUCAGUCACACUGGAACUGAGACACGGU